rnacentral:pre_miRNA from 1 species
GAUUGCUUGGCACUCGCGAACACCGCGAUCACUUCCAAUAUCGAUCCGCGGAGUUAGCCAGUGUCAACCAAAUG